rnacentral:rRNA from 1 species
UACAGAGGGUGCAAGCGUUAAUCGGAAUUACUGGGCGUAAAGCGUGCGUAGGUGGUCUGCUAAGUCAGGUGUGAAAUCCUUGGGCUCAACCUGAGAAUUGCAUUUGAUACUGGUGGACUAGAGUGUGGUAGAGGGUAGUGGAAUUCCCGGUGUAGCGGUGAAAUGCGUAGAUAUCGGGAGGAACAUCAGUGGCGAAGGCGGCUACCUGGACCAACACUGACACUGAGGUACGAAAGCGUGGGGAGCAAACAGG